rnacentral:rRNA from 1 species
GACGUAGGAUGCAAGCGUUGUCCGGAUUUAUUGGGCGUAAAGAGUUCGUAGGCGGUUUGUUAAGUCUGAUGUUAAAGACUGAGGCUCAACCUCGGGACUGCAUUGGAUACUGGCAGACUGGAGUAUGGUAGAGGUCAGUGGAAUUCCCAGUGUAGCGGUGAAAUGCGUAGAUAUUGGGAAGAACACCGGUGGCGUAAGCGACUGACUGGGCCAUAACUGACGCUGAGGAACGAAAGCCAGGGGAGCGAAUGGG